rnacentral:lncRNA from 1 species
UUUUGGGUUUUUUUUUUUAACAUCCUAUGCCUCUUUCUCUCUCUUAGGAAUAUCAGUAAACUCUCCCUUUUCUCCUACGUUGAAAACUCUCUUCUCCUACCGUGAAAUCUCCUCCUCCUACAACUCCUCUGUCUCACUCCUUCGCUCUCUGUCCAAACCCACUCGCUUCCAUCGACUCAGCCUCUCCGGUUACUCUUCUCUGGUCAAAUAUGAAGCUCUAAUAAGG